rnacentral:tRNA from 1 species
GCUGGGUUGGCUCAACUGGUAGAGCAGCUGAUUUGUAAUCAGCGGGUUGGGGGUUCGAGUCCCUCACCCAGCACCA